UGAAAAUGGAGCAGGAGCCACAAGU
rnacentral:piRNA from 1 species